rnacentral:rRNA from 1 species
UACGGAGGGUGCAAGCGUUAUCCGGAUUCACUGGGUUUAAAGGGUGCGUAGGAGGGCAGGUAAGUCAGUGGUGAAAUCCCCAAGCUUAACUUGGGAACUGCCAUUGGUACUAUCUGUCUUGAAUACCGUGGAGAUGAGCGGAAUAUGUCAUGUAGCGGUGAAAUGCUUAGAUAUGACAUAGAACACCAAUUGCGAAGGCAGCUCGUUACACGAAUAUUGACUCUGAGGCACGAAAGCGUGGGGAUCAAACAGG